GACGAACGCUGGCGGCGUGCCUAAUACAUGCAAGUAGGACGCAGUUGCGAACGUGUGAGUAACGCGUAGGCCCCUACCUAUUAGAGGGGGAUAACUAUUGGAAACGAUAGCUAAUACCGCAUACUCGUAGAUUGACCUGCGUUGUAUUAGCUAGUAGGUAGGGUAAUGGCCUACCUAGGCAACGAUCCGUAACUGGUCUGAGAGGAUGAUCAGUCACACUGGAACUGAGACACGGUCCAGACUCCUACGGGAGGCAGCAGUGGGGAAUAUUGGACAAUGGGCGAAAGCCUGAUCCAGCCAUGCCGCGUGUGUGAAGAAGGUCUUCGGAUUGUAAAGCACUUUAAGUUGGGAGGCGUUACCAACAGAAGAAGCACCGGCUAACUCCGUGCCAGCAGCCGCGGUAAUAC
rnacentral:rRNA from 1 species